rnacentral:rRNA from 1 species
CGCGCAGGCGGCUCGUUAAGUCCAAGGUGAAAUCCCACGGCUCAACUGUGGGGGGACCCUGGAUACUGGCGAGCUGGAGUGCGGGAGAGGGAAGCGGAAUUCCACGUGUAACGGUGAAAUGUAUAGAUAUGUGGAGGAACACCGGUGGCGAAGGCGGCUUCCUGGACCGUAACUGACGCUGAGGCGCGAAAGCUGGGGGAGCGAACAG